CUCUCAGGCUGCGUAGUCAGAGCCCCAAUGGCAAACACAGAGGGAAAUGCGCAGACGAGGACAAAGACUCUCCAGCUAUGGAACUGACAGACACAGGAAGACCCAAAAAAUGGAGUCUUGGAACCUGAGUAGAGCGGACAAGAGGGAAGAUCAAAAGCUAAGAAGAAGUCGAAGAAAAAGCAGUCCACAAAUACCGCAUUGCGUAGGCAGCUAGUGGAGAAAAAAGGGGGCCUUGAGCCUCCCCACAGAAAAGACUUUCUCCAAAGGGAGACACAGGAUAACCUUCUUCCUUCACAGAAACAGAAGAUGCAGGCCUACCUUCAGAUCAGAGAGUAUCCCCUAAAAAUACACUGCCUCCUUCUGUUCCCACCCAUCCAGGGCCUUCAUUAAAUCAA